GAAAGACACACAUGCGCGUCUUCCAUAUUUCGUUAUCAUCAUCCCUGUCCUCAGAGAUGCUUAUUUUGGCCACAGAUAUUGUGGCCUUUU
rnacentral:sRNA from 1 species